UCCUACGGGACGCAGCAGUAGGGAAUCUUCCACAAUGGACGAAAGUCUGAUGGAGCAACGCCGCGUGAGUGAAGAAGGGUUUCGGCUCAUAAAGCUCUGUUGGUAGUGAAGAAAGAUAGAGGUAGUAACUGGCCUUUAUUUGACGGUAAUUACUUAGAAAGUCACGGCUAACUACGUGCCAGCAGCCGCGGUAAUACGUAGGUGGCAAGCGUUGUCCGGAUUUAUUGGGCGUAAAGCGAGUGCAGGCGGUUCAAUAAGUCUGUUGUGAAAGUUUGCGGCGCAACCGUAAAAUUGCAGAUGAAACU
rnacentral:rRNA from 1 species